rnacentral:rRNA from 1 species
AACGAACGCUGGCGGCAUGCCUAACACAUGCAAGUCGAACGAGACCUUCGGGUCUAGUGGCGCACGGGUGCGUAACGCGUGGGAACCUUCCCUUAGGUUCGGAAUAACUCCCCGAAAGGGGUGCUAAUACCGGAUAAUGUCUUCGGACCAAAGAUUUAUCGCCUUUGGAUGGGCCCGCGUUGGAUUAGCUAGUUGGUAGGGUAAAAGCCUACCAAGGCGACGAUCCAUAGCUGGUCUGAGAGGAUGAUCAGCCACACUGGGACUGAGACACGGCCCAGACUCCUACGGGAGGCAGCAGUGGGGAAUAUUGGACAAUGGGCGAAAGCAUGAUCCAGCAAUGCCGCGUGAGUGAUGAAGGCCUUAGGGUUGUAAAGCUCUUUUACCCGGGAUGAUAAUGACAGUACCGGGAGAAUAAGCUCCGGCUAACUCCGU